rnacentral:sRNA from 1 species
GGAUGUGUGAGCGAUCUGGCUGCGACAUCUGUCACCCCAUUGAUCGUCAGGGUUGAUUCAGUUGAUCUGGCUGGCUCGGUGGGUGUCCCCUUCCACCCUCACUGUUCCAUGUGUGUCCCUCCCAAAGCUGCACGCUUGGUCGAAGAGGAUGAACAUCCCCAAUACAGGAGGACUGAUCUUCAAUCAAGGGUGUACGAGUAGCUGCACUCCCCUGCUGGAACCUCCAAAGAAGCUCUCAAGACUAGCUUUCGGACUCUCACUGCACUGUGGUCACAGAGUCCUGUGCCCAAAGUUCUUGUAUCAGAAACUGUCCAGUCUUGAGACCUACUUC